rnacentral:lncRNA from 1 species
AAAUCUGCUUUAACUUAUAUAAUAUUACUUUUUUCUUUUUUGAUUUUGAUUUUUCAUAAUAUUUCACCUUUUUUCAUGUAAAAGCUGCCAUGACGUACUUAUACUAUAGAUAGAUAUUUUUAUUUUAAAGUACGACUUGGUAAAUAUACAUGAAAUACAAUAUAUUACAAUUUUUAACAUCUACAGUCAAUAAACAUGUAAAUAUAUACCAACCAGUCUUUAUAGGCUUAUGAUGCACUGUCAUUCAUGUAAAUAUAUAUACCAACCAGCCUUUAUAGGCUUAUAAUACACUGUCAUUCAUGUAAGAUAUUUCCAUAUUUAUUAAUAUUCUAGUUAACAAUCAUGGCUUAGGAAUAAAAAAAAACUAGAAAAAUUAAAUUGGAUUUUUUUCCCCCCAGUUUUUCAAGCCAUGAAUAAUAACUGAAGGUCAUCAUAGUUUAAAAGUCAAACUGAAACUGUAUUUUAUUAUUGAUAGUGGUUUUGAUUAAGAGAAGAAAAAACAACUAAAGUUUAAACAACUUCAACUGAAAUCACUUAUUUUCGUAGAAAACAUACAUAAGUGAAGACUUAUGUUCUUGAUUUUGGUGUUAGUAAAAUAAACAUAUAUAACACUAAAACAAUCAUGUUUGAUUCAAUAUAUAAAGCUAAACAACAUUUUG